GGGACUUUGCCUGGUGCUUACACAUGCAAGUCGAACGGAAAGGCCCUUCGGGGUACUCGAGUGGCGAACGGGUGAGUAACACGUGGGUGAUCUGCCCUGCACUCUGGGAUAAGCCUGGGAAACUGGGUCUAAUACCGGAUAGGACCACACACUUCAUGGUGAGUGGUGCAAAGCUUUUGCGGUGUGGGAUGAGCCCGCGGCCUAUCAGCUUGUUGGUGGGGUAAUGGCCCACCAAGGCGACGACGGGUAGCCGGCCUGAGAGGGUGACCGGCCACACUGGGACUGAGAUACGGCCCAGACUCCUACGGGAGGCAGCAGUGGGGAAUAUUGCACAAUGGGCGCAAGCCUGAUGCAGCGACGCCGCGUGAGGGAUGACGGCCUUCGGGUUGUAAACCUCUUUCAGUAGGGACGAAGCGAAAGUGACGGUACCUACAGAAGAAGGACCGGCCAACUACGUGCCAGCAGCCGCGGUAAUACGUAGGGUCCGAGCGUUGUCCGGAAUUACUGGGCGUAAAGAGCUCGUAGGUGGUUUGUCGCGUUGUUCGUGAAAACUCACAGCUUAACUGUGGGCGUGCGGGCGAUACGGGCAGACUAGAGUACUGCAGGGGAGACUGGAAUUCCUGGUGUAGCGGUGGAAUGCGCAGAUAUCAGGAGGAACACCGGUGGCGAAGGCGGGUCUCUGGGCAGUAACUGACGCUGAGGAGCGAAAGCGUGGGUAGCGAACAGGAUUAGAUACCCUGGUAGUCCACGCCGUAAACGGUGGGUACUAGGUGUGGGUUUCCUUCCUUGGGAUCCGUGCCGUAGCUAACGCAUUAAGUACCCCGCCUGGGGAGUACGGUCGCAAGACUAAAACUCAAAGGAAUUGACGGGGGCCCGCACAAGCGGCGGAGCAUGUGGAUUAAUUCGAUGCAACGCGAAGAACCUUACCUGGGUUUGACAUGCACAGGACGUACCUAGAGAUAGGUAUUCCCUUGUGGCCUGUGUGCAGGUGGUGCAUGGCUGUCGUCAGCUCGUGUCGUGAGAUGUUGGGUUAAGUCCCGCAACGAGCGCAACCCUUGUCCUAUGUUGCCAGCGGGUAAUGCCGGGGACUCGUAGGAGACUGCCGGGGUCAACUCGGAGGAAGGUGGGGAUGACGUCAAGUCAUCAUGCCCCUUAUGUCCAGGGCUUCACACAUGCUACAAUGGCCAGUACAGAGGGCUGCGAAGCCGUAAGGUGGAGCGAAUCCCUUAAAGCUGGUCUCAGUUCGGAUUGGGGUCUGCAACUCGACCCCAUGAAGUCGGAGUCGCUAGUAAUCGCAGAUCAGCAACGCUGCGGAAUUCCUC
rnacentral:rRNA from 1 species